GACGAACGCUGGCGGCGUGCCUAAUACAUGCAAGUCGAGCGAAGUUUUUCUGGUGCUUGCACCGGAAAAACUUAGCGGCGAACGGGUGAGUAACACGUAAAGAACCUGCCUUAUAGACUGGGACAACUAUUGGAAACGAUAGCUAAUACCGGAUAACAGCAUUAACUGCAUGGUUGAUGUUUGAAAGUUGGUUUUGCUAACACUAUGAGAUGGCUUUGCGGUGCAUUAGCUAGUUGGUGGGGUAAAGGCCUACCAAGGCGACGAUGCAUAGCCGACCUGAGAGGGUGAUCGGCCACACGGGGACUGAGACACGGCCCAGACUCCUACGGGAGGCAGCAGUAGGGAAUCUUCCGCAAUGGGCGAAAGCCUGACGGAGCAACGCCGCGUGAGUGAAGAAGGAUUUCGGUUCGUAAAGCUCUGUUGUUAGGGAAGAAUGAUUGUGUAGUAACUAUACACAGUAGAGACGGUACCUAACCAGAAAGCCACGGCUAACUACGUG
rnacentral:rRNA from 1 species